rnacentral:misc_RNA from 1 species
CGCACCUUGCACCCUUUGGUAUUCCGAAGGGUAUGCCUGUUUGAGUGUCAUUAAAUUCUCAACCUUAUACCUUUAUUGUGUACAAGGCUCGCGAGUCGUGUGAAUCAUCGAAUCUUUGAACGCACAUUGCGCCCCUUGGUAUUCCGAAGGGCAUGCCUGUUCGAGCGUCAUUUCAACCCUCAAGCCUAGCUUGGUAUUGGGCGCGGUCCUAGGACCCGUCCGCAACCCGUUGGCGGUACCGUCCGGCCUCAAGCGUAGCAGAAACCUCGCUUUGGGAGCUCGCGGCGGCGCCUGCCAGAGGAACCACCCAACUCCUAUAGUUUGACCUCGGAUCAGGUAGGGUUACCCGCUGAACUUAA